rnacentral:rRNA from 1 species
CGGAAUUACUGGGCGUAAAGCGUGCGCAGGCGGUUUGCUACGACCGAUGUGAAAUCCCCGGGCUUAACCUGGGAACUGCAUUGGUGACUGGCGGGCUAGAGUGUGGCAGAGGGGGGUAGAAUUCCACGUGUAGCAGUGAAAUGCGUAGAGAUGUGGAGGAAUACCGAUGGCGAAGGCAGCCCCCUGGGCUAACACUGACGCUCAUGCACGAAAGCGUGGGGAGCAAACAGG